rnacentral:rRNA from 1 species
AGAGUUUGAUCCUGGCUCAGAAUGAACGUUGGCGGCGUGGAUUAGGCAUGCAAGUCGUACGCACAGCAAUGUGAGUGGCGCAAGGGUGAGUAAUGCGAAGGUAACCAACCCUGGUGUUGGGCAUAGCCGCGGGAAACUGCGGGUAAUACCCAGCGACGUCGCGAGAUGGCAUCAUCUUGCGACCAAAGGUGUGAUUCCGCUCUAGGACGGGCCUUCGUGGUAUUAGGUAGUUGGUGAGGUAACGGCUCACCAAGCCGACGAUGCCUACCGGGUGUGAGAGCAUGACCCGGCACACUGGAACUGAGACACUGUCCAGACACCUACGGGUGGCUGCAGUCGAGAAUCUUCGGCAAUGGGCGAAAGCCUGACCGAGCGACGCCGCGUGAGGGAAGAAGGCCUUCGGGUUGUAAACCUCUUUCGUAGAGGAGGAAGGGGCCGUGCAGAGCGGUCCUUGACCUAUUCUAGGAAGAAGCUUGNGCUAAGUUCGUGCCAGCAGCCGCGGUAAGACGAACCAAGCGAACGUUAUUCGGAAUUACUGGGCUUAAAGCGCGUGUAGGCGGAUGACCACGUCAGUCGUUGAAAUC